AUGAUACUCCCUCCGUCCGAAAUACUUGUCAUCAAAAUGGAUAAAAGGAGAUGUAUCUACUAGAUAGAGAUCUAUCUAGUAGAUACAUCUCCUUUUAUCCAUUUUGAUGACAAGUAUUUUUGAAUGGAGGGAGUACUCU
rfam:Triticum aestivum genome assembly, contig: Triticum_aestivum_CS42_TGACv1_scaffold_624444_7DS